AUUGAACGCUGGCGGCAUGCUUUACACAUGCAAGUCGAACGGUAACAGGCCGCCAGGUGCUGACGAGUGGCGCACGGGUGAGUAAUGCAUCGGAACGUGCCCAGUCGUGGGGGAUAACUACUCGAAAGAGUAGCUAAUACCGCAUACGAUCUAUGGAUGAAAGCGGGGGACCGUAAGGCCUCGCGCGAUUGGAGCGGCCGAUGUCAGAUUAGGUAGUUGGUGGGGUAAAGGCUCACCAAGCCAACGAUCUGUAGCUGGUCUGAGAGGACGACCAGCCACACUGGGACUGAGACACGGACCAGACUCCUACGGGAGGCAGCAGUGGGGAAUUUUGGACAAUGGGCGCAAGCCUGAUCCAGCAAUGCCGCGUGCAGGAAGAAGGCCUUCGGGUUGUAAACUGCUUUUGUACGGAACGAAACGGCUCUGGUUAAUACCCGGGGCUAAUGACGGUACCGUAAGAAUAAGCACCGGCUAACUACGUG
rnacentral:rRNA from 1 species